rnacentral:sRNA from 1 species
CGGACAGGGGGGUUCCUGCCCAUCCCGGCAGGGCCUGUCCAAGCAGGGUUGCGCGAAGGCGUGGCCAGUGGUUGUCGCUCGGGGGUGAUCGCCG